rnacentral:rRNA from 1 species
UACAGAGGUCUCAAGCGUUGUUCGGAUUCAUUGGGCGUAAAGGGUGCGUAGGUGGCGAGGUUAGUCAGGUGUGAAAUCUCGGGGCUCAACCCCGAAACUGCACUUGAUACUGCCUUGCUAGAGUACUGGAGAGGAGAUUGGAAUUUACGGUGUAGCAGUGAAAUGCGUAGAUAUCGUAAGGAACGCCAGUGGCGAAAGCGAAUCUCUGGGCAGCAACUGACGCUGAGGCACGAAGGCCAGGGGAGCAAACGGG